rnacentral:rRNA from 3 species
AUUGAACGCUGGCGGCAGGCCUAACACAUGCAAGUCGAGCGCGAAAACACUUCGGUGUGAGUAGAGCGGCGGACGGGUGAGUAAUGCUUGGGAAUCUGCCCAGUAGUGGGGGAUAACGUGUGGAAACGCACGCUAAUACCGCAUACGUCCUACGGGAGAAAGCAGGGGAUCUUCGGACCUUGCGCUAUUGGAUGAGCCCAAGUCAGAUUAGCUAGUUGGUGAGGUAAUGGCUCACCAAGGCGACGAUCUGUAGCUGGUCUGAGAGGAUGAUCAGCCACACUGGGACUGAGACACGGCCCAGACUCCUACGGGAGGCAGCAGUGGGGAAUAUUGCACAAUGGGCGAAAGCCUGAUGCAGCCAUGCCGCGUGUGUGAAGAAGGCUCUAGGGUUGUAAAGCACUUUCAGUGGGGAGGAAAAGUUUAAGAUUAAUACUCUUGAACCUUGACGUUACCUGCAGAAGAAGCACCGGCAAACUCCGUGCCAGCAGCCGCGGUAAUACGGAGGGUGCGAGCGUUAAUCGGAAUUACUGGGCGUAAAGCGCGCGUAGGUGGUUUGAUAAGCUAGCUGUGAAAGCCCCGGGCUCAACCUGGGAACUGCAGUUAGAACUGUCUGGCUAGAGUAUAGUAGAGGGUGGCGGAAUUUCCUGUGUAGCGGUGAAAUGCGUAGAUAUAGGAAGGAACAUCAGUGGCGAAGGCGGCCACCUGGACUAAUACUGACACUGAG